rnacentral:rRNA from 1 species
AUUGAACGCUGGCGGCAGGCCUAACACAUGCAAGUCGAGCGAGAAAGGCCUUCGGGCUGAGUACAGCGGCGGACGGGUGAGUAACGCGUAGGAAUCUACCUGGUAGUGGGGGACAACAUGGGGAAACUCAUGCUAAUACCGCAUACGCCCUAUGGGGGAAAGUGGGGGACCUUCGGGCCUCACGCUAUCAGAUGAGCCUGCGUAGGAUUAGCUUGUUGGUGAGGUAAAGGCUCACCAAGGCGACGAUCCUUAGCUGGUCUGAGAGGAUGAUCAGCCACACUGGAACUGAGACACGGUCCAGACUCCUACGGGAGGCAGCAGUGGGGAAUAUUGCGCAAUGGGGGGCAACCCUGACGCAGCCAUGCCGCGUGUGUGAAGAAGGCC